CUAUUUCCCCUGUAUUCUCUUCCUCUCCGAGCAGCUGAAGACGACGCCCUAGAAUUUCGAUUACUCUGAUACCCAAAUACAGGCCUGCGAUUUUGACGUCACCCCCAAAUACUACUGCGUCUUCUCCCUUUCUUCUCUCAGGUCCAUGGCUGGUAGUGAGACUGAUGUACCAAUUCAUCAAAUUGAAGAGGAAGUGGAAGACAUAUCCCCAACAUCAACUGGGCUAGACGUUGAUGUGGAGCUGGAGUGUCAAAGCUUGGAAGUUUCAACCUCUAUAAAGAGUGGGGUUGACAUUGUUGGUGAGAAAAUGUGCCAAAGCAAAAAAGCUUCCGUUAUUGCCAACAAUGGGGAAGAUUUUGAUGGAGAACAAGUGUAUAAGAGCUCAGAAAGUUCUGUUGACAAAAAUGGGAUGGACAACCAGGGGAUGGAUAUGGAUAUGGAUAGUAAGCUGGAAUAUCAGAGCCCUAAUGAUCCAUUGGUAGACAUAGCAGAGUCUACAAACUUUUGUGAAACAGUUGAAGCUGAUGAAUAUGUCGUACCAGAACUUGGCGUGGAGUUUGAAUCAGAAGAUCAUGCAUACAGGUGCUACAAUACAUAUGCUGCACUGGGAGGUUUCAGCAUUAGGAAAGAUUUCAUAAAUAAAAGUAGGGCUAACGGUUAUGUCUUAUCGAGAAGAUACACUUGUUAUAAAGAAGGUUAUCGGCGAACCAAGGGUAAUGCAGAUGUUAAGAAGCCCCGAAAGGAUACAAGAACCGGUUGCUUGGCAUAUAUGACUAUUGCCCGUCAACCAAAUGGCAAGUAUCGAGUUCUACAUUUUGAGAACAAACAUAAUCAUGAGUUUGCAACCCCAUUUACUGCCCAUCUGUUACCGUCAGUGAGGAGAACAACUUUUGCAGAAGCUGUUGAAUCUGAAUUAGCUGACUCAGAGACAAAAGGGGUACCAAAACUUGGAAUGGGAUUUGAUUCAGAAGAUCAAGCAUAUGAGUUCUACAAUGCGUACGCCGGACGUGUGGGUUUUAGUGUUCGGAAGGACUAUGUGAAUAAAAGUAAGGUGGAUGGUGCGGUGGCGUCUAGAAGGUUCACUUGUUUUAGAGAAGGGUUCAGGCAAAAGGACAGAAAGGAUUCAAAUGUAAAGAGACCUAGAAAGGAAACAAGAAUUGGUUGUUUGGCACACUUGGUCAUUGCACGUCACCCUGAUGGUAAAUAUCGCAUCACGCGGUUUGAAGAAGAACACAAUCAUGAGCUUGUUCCCUUUUGUAGGGUCCGCAUGUUAAGGUCUCAGAAGAGUGCUGCAGAAGCCACUGCGGUAGAUGAUUCUGGAAUUCAGACAAAUGCAGCUUCUGACUUAAUAAUCAAACCAGUUGCUGCAGGGGAGACAUUGGUUUAUCAGCCUGUUGAUUAUAAAAGUAAUCUACCGGCAAAGCGCAUGAGAGAGAUGAGGCAGGGAGAGUCAGAAAGUAUUCUUCAAUAUUUUGAAAACAAGCAAUUAAAAGACCCUUCUUUCUUUUAUGCUGUACAACUCGAUGUUGAAGGUGAAAUGACAAAUGUUUUUUGGGCUGAUCCAAAGAUGGUGGAGGAUUUCGGGGAUUUUGGUGACGUGGUUUGCUUUGAUAUGACUUACAAACUAGGCAAAGAUUGCCGACCUUUUGCACCAAUUAUUGGAGUGAAUCAUCAUAAGCAGAUGGUGGCCUUUGGUGCGGCACUUUUAUAUGAUGAAACUGUUCAAUCUUUUCAAUGGCUAUUUCAAAAAUUUCUGGAGGCUGUGUCUGGAAAGAAGCCAAAGACAAUCCUCACAGACGAAGAUGCAACAAUGGCUGAAGCAAUCUCUUCGGCAUAUCCAGAAGCACACCAUCGAUUAUGUGCAUGGCAUGUGUACCAAAAUACACUCAAACACCUUAGUGAUGUUAUUGUAGGCUUGGAUUCUUUUGCCAAUGAUUUAAGCAGUUGCAUUUUUAAUCAUGACGAGGAGCAGGAUUUCGUUGAUGCAUGGAAGGCUAUGCUGGACAUGUAUGGUCUUUGGGAAAAUGAGUGGUUGAAUGACAUAUUCAAAGAAAGAGAGAAAUGGGCUUUACCAUAUGGAAGACACAUUUUUUGUGCUGACAUAAAAAGUGCUCAACUCUCUGAAUGUUUCAGUACUACUAGCUUGAGAAAGUACCUAAAGUCUGACUUAGAUGUUCGUACAUUUUUCAAGCACUUUGGAAGGGUGGUGAGUGAUUGGCGCUACAAAGAGAUAGAAGCUAAUUAUGAUAUGAGUCAGCGAAUGCCAAGGCUAAUGGGGGAUGUGAUUCUAUUGAAGCAUGCAAGGGAUCUUUACACACCAACGAUUUUCGAAUCGUUUCAGCAAGAAUAUGAAAAUUGUCUCAAUGCUGUUGUUAACCAAUGCACUGAAAUCAAGUCAUUAGUUGAGUACAAAGUUAGCGUAUAUGGGCAAGUACUAGAGCACACCAUCAUAUUCAACUCAUCUGAAGAUUCGGUUGUGUGCAACUGUAUGAAGUUCCAGUUUGUUGGGGUGUUGUGUAGCCAUGCACUAAAGGUGCUUGAUUAUAGGAACAUAAAAGUUGUUCCUACACGAUACAUCUUGAAGAGGUGGACAAAAGAUGCAAGGGCUUGAAUAUGUCUAGAUGGUAUUGGUGUCUGCAAGUCAGCUUGCAAGGAGACAUCAGAUUGUCUAAGAUAAGUACCCCAUCAGCAGAUAAAAGCAGUACACAAAAAAGUUAAAGGAAAAGGGUACACACGAACGAAAAUUUAGAAUAUUUCCACAGAAUGCAGCUAACUUGAGGAAAUUCUUGGAGCAGCUUUUCUUAGAUGAAGCUGUCUCUGGCGGUGGGGAGGUUAUACCUCGCGAUGGGCUGGAACUUGGCUUUCCUCUUCCUAUCUUGGGUGAACAUGCUGCGAUGCAGGUAAUAUGGUGAUUGCUGCUAAUAUUGAAUAUGAAGUAUUUGCAGCAGUAAUGAUUGGAAGAAAGAGAUACCUUGACGUUCUUUAUCUGAUCUUUUGCUGCUUCUCUUUCAUUAUAGAAAUCAGGCACUGAAGGACUUUGAACAACUGUAAUACAAAUGCCAUUUUUUCAGGAGAAUUAGAGCCUCUUCUAAUUGAAUGGAACAAAUACUGCUCUGAAAGACUCGUGGCACGUUCAAGUUUAACAGUAACACAGUAUCUUCUUUUUCAUAUCUUAUCAUCAGGAGUAGACUUUGGAGUCAAUUUCAGUUUAUCCGUGGAGUGUGUUGCAGUAUUCCGGGUCAGUGGAGUGGCAUUAUUUUCCCUCCCGGGGUGAAUAGGAGCUGCUGGUUUGGCAGGUGAAGCUGGAACUCUUGGUGCUCUUUGGUGAGCAGCUGAAUUCGAAGACAAAAAUUCUGGUUUCACCUUGCCAUUCUCCGCUUUCUGUAGCUCCGCAUUUGAAUUAUCAUCAUUUCCAUGGACAACAUUGGAGUGCUUCAUCGAAUUAUCAAUAGAUUGUUGUUCAAAUUCUGGUUGCGCGUGGUUAUUGGCUGCAUUUGCUUGCUCAAGCAAGGCUGCAGCCUUCUUAGCGGCAAUGCUCUUGUAAUGAGCUUCAAAGAAAGCUUUCUUUUGUGCCA